rnacentral:lncRNA from 1 species
CUCGGCUUGCCAGAAGCAUUCGAUAUAGAGCUGCUAGAUAUUGUAUAAUCGAAGGAGUCCUGUUCCGUAGAAGUUUCACACUCCCCUAUCUAAGAUGUCUCAAACCUUCCGAGUCUCUUCAAGCAAUGACUGAAGUUCAUGAAGGCAUUUGUGGAAAUCACCAGGGAGCCUGAGCUCUUGCAUAUAAGUUGAUAAGGUAUGGAUACUACUGGCCAAGUUUGAAGAAAGAUGCCACAGAUUACGUCCGGAAGUACGACAAGUGCCAAAAGAUUGGCCACCUCAUACAUGCUCCUGUUGAGGAAUUAACAUCCAUUCACUACUCAACUCCUUUCGAACAGUGGAGAGUUGAUAUUCUUGGGCCAUUCCCUUUGGCCCGAGGACAAUUAAAAUUUGUAGCUGUGGCAGUGGAGUAUUUCACAAAGUGGGUAGAAGCCGAAACACUAGCAAGAAUUUCAGAGCCGAAGCUCAGGUCAUUCAUAUGGAAGUCCGUCAUAUGCAGGUUUAGGAUACCAAAAGUCCUCAUCACAGAUAACGGAAGGUAAUUCGACAAUCCCCAGUUCAGGAACUUCUGCGCCAACAACGGGAUUGAUCAUCGCUUGACCUCGGUAUCACACCCACAAAGUAAUGGGCUAGCCGAAGUAACUAAUCGAAUCAUAUUGCUGGACCUCCGAACAAGGAUAGGGGACGCCAAAGGUGACUGGGCUGAUGAACUGCCUUCGAUACUAUGGGAAUAUAGGACUUCACACAAGACAGCAACUGGUGAAACGCCCUUCAUGCUUGCUUUUGGACUUGAGGCUACCAUCCCAAUCGAGGUUAGCCUCUCCACAAUAAGAAAGCUCGAGACAAAUAGGGAGACACAAACUACUGAGCACCUUGACUUGCUUGAGGAGGUAAGGGAGCAAGCCUCACUUAGGGCUGCAAGUUAUCAAAAUAGAACGGCGAAGUACUUCAACGACAAGGUCCAGAUGAGGAGGUUCAGAGCUGGUGAUCUUGUCCUUAGAAAAGCGGAAGCCGCCGGACACCAACCAGGGAAGCUCGGACCGACAUGGGAGGGACCCUACGAGGUCAUAAGAAAACUUUAAGGUGGAGCCUAUAGCCUCAGAGACACAUCGGGGAAACCACUCCCAAGGCCAUGGAACGUCGGUAAUCUAAAAAUAUACUAUAAGUGACUAGCUAUAGCUAUAAUUUUCCCUUUUACGGCUUGCAUGCCCGCUUUAUGUUUGCUUAAUUUCGUUUUUACUUUUCGGGUUCUAAUGCCCUGUUAGCUCAUGCUCGAAUAAGCUCGGGUAUCAACACCCUUGAGCC